GCUGGGCAUGGUGGCACAUGCCUGUAAUCCCAGCUACUCGGAAGCUGAGGCAGGAGAAUCGUUUGAACCUGGGAGGCGGAGGUUGCAGUGAGCAGAGAUCGCACCACUGCACUCCAGCCUGGGCAACAGAGCGAGACUCUGUCUCAA
rnacentral:sRNA from 1 species